rnacentral:tRNA from 1 species
AGUUAGUAUAAUUAAAUGGUAAGAAUCUACUGAUACAUACUCAGUAGUAUAAGAGUUCGAGUCUCUUUAUUAACU